rnacentral:tRNA from 1 species
UGUAAUAUAGCUCAGCAGUAGGGAACUUGCCUAGAAUGCAUAAGGCUUUGAGUUCAAUCCCCAGUACUACAA